UCAUUUUGCUUUCUCCUUUUGCUGCGUAAAAGCUUUUUACUUUGAUAUAGUCUCAUUUGUUUAUUUUUGCUUUUGUUGCUUGUACUUUUGAUGUCAUAUCCAAAAAAAGUCAUUGCCCAGACCAAUGUCAAGCAGGUGUUCCCCUGUGUUUUCUUCUAGGAGUAUGAUAAUUUUAGAUCUUACAUUUAAGUCUUUAAUCCAUUUUGAGUUAAUUUUUGUGAGUGGUACAUGUAAUAUUAUUUAACACAGAGCCAGUAGAAUUGGGCCAAUAAAGAAAGCAUCAUACACCCACCAAAUCAAAUCUUUGCCACUUGAAAGAGGAUGCUUCCUAUUUGGCCCAUGAUUUUUUUUUGCAGGUUUCUAAAAUUUUUCUCAGGGAUUCCAAAGUUGACUUUUAAGUUUUUGUUGAGAGAAAAAAAUAUACGGUUCUUUGCCAUAUCAGUAAGUUCUUUGAGGCUCUUACUCAUAUGAUUUGCUGAAUAAAAUCCAUUCCAACAUUCUGUUUGAAGACAUUUUUUCUUUACACCUUCUAAUGUCUUGUUUUAGCCACAUAGCUGUUAUCAUCGGAUUUCUUUUCAUAGUAAUCUGGCUUAAUUUCAUUGUUUUCAGAUUCUACAGAAGUUUUUUCCAGAAGGGUGUGUCCAAGGAGUCCUUGCAUAUAUAUAAAAUUUUUUUAUUUUUCUUCACACUUGGCUUUGUUGCUGCUCAGAAUGGUAUCUUAGUUUCAAUUAUAUUUUCUAAUUGGUGAGUGUAGAAUAAUGCUACUCAUAAGUUAAUCUUUUACCUGGGAAAUUUGCUCAACUCAUUUCUAGGAGUUGACUGAUAAUCAGUUUUAUCUUUUUUCCUUCCAAUCCUUAUCUUUUUCUUACCUUCUUUCCUUGACCAGGAUGUCUGGUACUAUGUAGGCUAGAAUUAUAGAUCCAUACCAUUUUUUUCUUCCAAAUUUUUGAUACUAUAUCAUUUGGACACUCCGUUGAGAAGUAUAAUAUUACUUUGAAUCCCAUUUUUUUUGUAGGGAACCUGUUUUUUCUCUCUACAAGCUUUAUGGUCUUACUUUCUCCUUAAAAUUCUGCAGUUUUAUGAGAAUAUACCUUGGCAUAACGUAUACCUUGGUAUAUAUAUAGAUCUAUACCUUGGUGUCAAUCCUUUUUAUUUAUCUUGCAUGGCAUUUCAUCCUGUAGACUUUUGUCUUUUCAGCUCUAUGAAUUUUUUUCUUUUAAUUGUCUCUCUCCUACCCCCACUCCUAUUUGACUAAUAUUGGACUUCCUCAAUUGAUUCUCCAUUCUGCAACCUUUUCCUCAUAUUUUUCACUGCUUAGUUUUUGGUUUGCACUGUGGAAUUUUCUCAACUUUGACUUCUAGACCUUUUAUUGAAAAUUUUAUUUAAGAUAUAUUAUUUUUGAUUUUUAAGACUUUCUGGUUCUCUGCCCCUUUUUUAAAAAAGUAGCAUCCCUUAUUUAUUGUUUCAGAUAUUCCUAAGUGUGCUAAUUACUUUCAGUUCUUUUGAUUAAAAGUGAUAGAAAAUCUAAGCUGCAUAAGGAAGGAGCUAACUUACUGCUCACAAAACUGAAAUGUUGGCAGUAAUGCUGACUUUGGGUGCAUUUGAGUUUUCUAUGGGAGCUUACAUGGUAACACCAGCACCUGGUUUAUAUCUUUCUAAACCUUACCUUUGUUUAUUCUAGUUCCAUUCUCAGAGUCUUUGCUUAUGGUAGAGAGAGACAGCAGCAGCUCAGCCUACUUAAGUUAAAGUUGCAUGAGAAUGAGUGAGGGCCUCUUUCCUGGAGUUCCUAGGAGUUCUCUUUCCAUGGCAUCCAGUAAUUGUCUCAUGGUACCUCACUGGUUCUGACUGGGCACAUUCCUAAACAUACUCCAAUGGCUAUAGGAGCAGAACCUAGGAAUUUUGCACUAGGGGAGCUAUAGCCGUCUUUCUCCCACAUGAUCUGUCUGACCAUAGAAUGUAGGCCUAGAUUGUGGAUUGAACUCAAACGCAUUUGAGACGUGAGAGCUCAGUAUAGUGAGGUAUAGAUCAACAGAGCAAAAUGGGGUAACCACAAGGAGGAGGGGUCCUAGGCACAAAAUAUAACAACUAUUUUUUGCAAUCACAUGGCUUGGAAAAAUACAGAAGUUUUGAAUAUGUGGGGGCAAAGGUAGAUGAGUGUUGGGCAUUUUACUGAAAUGGAGGGCAGUAAGCCAAGGACUGGCUAGUAUGUAGCAUACAGAGUAUCUGUCUAGAGAUAUUUAUGUCCCACUGUUACAGGUUGGGGGGAGGGGGCAGAGAAAGAAAACCAUAGUGAGUAAAAAUAUCUCUGUGUUUAUGCCUGAAGUUUCAUCAAUUUUGUAGGAACAGGGAAAUAUUGGGUGGAUUGGGAAGAUUAGAAACAGUAAUCAUUUACAUUUUAAUGGGAAAUGUCCUAAUCAGUUUUCCUAUUUCUAGAAGAGAUCACCCUAUACUCACAUAUAUAGGAACAUAGACUAUUUCUAGGAAGAUGGAGACAAAACUUCCCCACACCACAUCAAGGACUUCUGAGAGGAAGAUGCCCUAAAUAAAGGAGUAUUUGAAGAAAGAGAAGUUAGAGGAAGACAAGUACUCCACCAUGCUGAUGUCAUUUUACCCUUCUCUCUUAGAGACGGAAUCUCAGCUCUAUUCUUCUUUUUCCUUCUUCCCCCUCCUUACUUUUCUAAGUUAAAGUGACAAGCAGCGGAAAGAAGGCAAUAAAUAAUUAGCAUCAGCAAUUAAUAAGUCAAUUUCUAUACUCUAUCUGCUCUGUGAACAGUUGUCAACACAGUGUGAAUUUUCCUAACCAGUUUGUUUCAGUUAAGUCCAGAGAUAAGCCCUUUGACUCAUCCUCAUGAGGACAAAGAAUGGAAUGAGUGGAUUUUAUCUGCUGAAUUAGCUGGACGCGUCACAUUUGACUUUAAUAACUCUUUCUGUUUUCCUUCCUAAACCUACCAUGCACUUUGUUCUAAUUGGAGUAUUAUUACAGUGUGGCAGCAGGCCAUCUUGUAAUUCUUUUUAAAAUUCUCUCUGCUUUGACAGCUUUGGUGUCUGGAAGCACAAAUUUAUUUGUCAUUUGGAACCUGAGAUAUGGAUCAGUCUUUCCUCAUGGCCAGACCUCACCUGAAAAAGCAACGACCAGGACAAGACUCUGGACAAAGUCUGCUGGUUAGGGGGCAGCUGCUCUGAUGGCCACAGAUACGGGGCUGUAUGUAGACUCGUUUUGUCAAAUAGACAUGCUGGAUGAGAUCUCUAAGGUUAUUUCCAGCUUUGACAUUUUAUCAUCUGACAAUGUGUAGGUUUUGAUAUUAACCAAGAAUCAGUUCUGCUCCAUUUGUUUAAAAUAAAUCUCUUCACCCGUUGGUCACACUUCUUUAGUGAUGAGACCAGGUUCUACCAAGGGCAGAAGAGAAGGUGAAAUCUGCAAGUCCUCUAGAUUCCUUUCUACAUUCACAUGUGUAUCAACUCUGCUUUCUCUUCCUUCUACUAGACCAUGAGUUGUUUGGGAACAGGAGCUGUGUCUUGUUAAUCUUGCUUCUCCCAAUGUCAAGCAUGGUGCCUGCAUUCAGGGGUACGUACUAAGCGUCCAAACUACAGAACUGAAUAAUUCUAUGUGACCUUCAAGUGUACCUUAAAUUAGAAUCUUUAUGUAAUUUGCUUUACUUUUUAUCCCCUUAUAUUUGGAAAACCUGUUACUCAGUGUAAUCUUAUGCUACUUUAUCUUAAUAAUUAAAAACAUUAGCUUUAUAUUAAAGAGGAAUUAGUUUCUUUUUUCCUAGUUGAGAUGUCAAUUUUCUUUAAUAUUCCUUUGGGGGAAGGGGAAGAUUAGUGUUGCUAGAUAAAAUUCAGGAUACCAGUUGGGAAUUUGAAUUUCAGGUAAACAAUGAAUAAGUUUUUAACAUAAAUAUGUCCCAAUUCCUUUUUUAAAUCUGAAAUUUUAAUUUAACUGGGUGUCCUUUUUAAAUUUUCUUUCCUAAAUUUAGCAACCCAGGCUCUCAUCCUGGUCAAUAUAAUAUUCUAUCUUGAAGUUCCCAAGUAUAGAUUCCAUAGAACCUAAUGGAGAAGUGGCAUUUUAGAGCCAGGAUCACACUCAGAAGAUAUGACCUGUCCGGUCAGAACCUUUAUCUUUUUAUGGAAUUAUCUAAAUUACAACCAGAGGUAAAAAAUAGCAACUGAAAACACAUAUUAGUACCUGCUCUCCCACCUUUCUUUAAAACUGAUUUACUGUAUUUAUUAUGCCCAAAGUACCAACCUGCUGCAAGGUGGUGAUCUGACAAUGAGUGUAGAAAUACAAGUCCUAAGCACAAAUUUGAAGGGUCUCAUAAACGUUCUCCUAAUACAUUCUUUAAAAUUCUCAAGUGGGAAAAUACUAUACUUUCUCAGGUUUACUGGGGAAAGAAGUUGGGGAGGGCCAGGCAGCAGAAUUUUUUCUAGUUUCUUCUUCAGUUCUCCAAUAUAUACAUUAUAACUAACAAGAAUUUCUAUUUUUUCCCCUAUAUCUCUAUUUUUUCCCCUAUAUCCCUUUCUGGAUUUAUUGCUGACCCUACAACUUGGGCACUCCAAGGAAUGCCUGCAAGUCCAGAAAUGUUUUGUGAAGCGGAAAACCUCUGAAGUUAUCCUACUCCUAGUUGACCUAGUCAAAAUCAGGCUGGCGGUUCUUGCAGUGGGUGUUCCUAUCUCUACUGCAUAGUCACAUCACCAGGUGAGCUCAAGUGGAAGACCUUGAGGGCAAGGCAUCCGUUGAUGGGAACCCAAGCAGUAAGGACACCCUGCCUGUGAUCGACUCCAACACAGUGAUACACAGUGAUCUAUUUGAUCUUCACUGCCUAUCUGAAGAAAUUACAUAGGCCCCACUGUGUGUCUGUCAUUGAACUAGAUUCUGAGGAUACAAAAUUGAAUGAGAUGUGAACCUUAUCCAUAAGAUAUUUGGAGUCUCACUGGGGACAGAGACAUCAAACAAUCAGUAAUCAAAGUAAGUAGAUCAGUUGGUCUUUGAAAUCAGAUAGACAACAUUUAAACCCCUCUUUCACCACUUCCUGAUUCUCAACCUCCUUAUCUAGAAAACCGAUACAAUUUCUGCCUUGUAUUUCAGGUGCAGGGGAACAACAUAUGUCAAGGCAGGUGGCCACAGAACAGCGUGAUCAGUAAGAAGUUUUUUUUUUUUUAUUUGAUCAGUAAGAAGUUUGAGAAAAUCAGAUAAGGGCUGUUCUGAAAGAGACCUUUGACUUUUUAAAUCUGUGGAAUAUACUUAUUGAAAAUACUGAUAUCUGCUAACCACAUUAUUGCCUAUCAUUCCCAGCCCUGGCUCUAUAAGACCAUUUUCAUGUAAUCUUUAUUUCAGCCAGACUGUUAAUUACUGUUCCUCUAAACACUCUGCUCUUUCCAGCUUCUGAGCUUUCCCUAGGGGGUUCCCACCUUAGCAUCUUCUUCUUUGUUUAAUGUUUAUUUUUUAUUUCGAAAGAGACAGCGUGUGAGUGGGAUAGGGGAUAGACAGAGGGGGAGAGAGAGAAUCCCAAGCAGGCUCUGUGGAGCCUGAUGCGGGGCCUGAACUCAUGAAUCGUGAGCUGAAAUCAAGAGUUGGACGCUUAACCGACUGAGCCACCCAGACGUCCCUGUCUUAUGCAUAUUUGUAUCCCCUCAGCACUUACUCAAUGUCUUAUAUGUCUUACACAUAGUGGAUGGCAUCUAAAUAUUUGUGAAGUUGAAUUUGGUGAGGCAAGCCAUUCUUGUCUUAUAGCUACAGAACAAGAGCUAAUCUGUAGUUGUAAAGGUUCUGGAUCAUUGAAUGAAAGCUGCUCUUUCAGCAGAUCAUAAUUGUGCAAAGCUGUUAAGUGUAUACUUUUGAAAAACAGGUUUUGCUGUGUUACUGAGUUCAUGUUGCCAUGACAACCUUAACUUUUGGCACUUUCUGAAUUUAGUGUCCUACUUAAUUUCCUGUGUUUGGCUCUGAGAGACCAUAUUGUUCUGUCCUUUUCGUUUGCUUUUACAAAUCUUUGAACUGAAAAUCAUUUAUGAAUUUAUUUUAUUUGCCUUAUUAGGUCCUUAAUAGGAUCCUAAGACUGGGGACUUGGUCUACUACCUUUGGGAUCCCUGAUAGCACCCAGGAAUGCCCUAUACUUUUUAGACAUUGUGUGUGUCAAUAUACAUUGUAGAUGAAUUGAGAAAUUGUUGGUGCAGUAGGGCAGAACAAUGUUUGUCCCAAAGAUGUUUAAAUCCCAAUCCUUAGAACCUGUGAAUAUGUCACCUUACAAAGUAAAAGGGGCUUGCAGAGGUGAUUAAGAAUUUUGAGGGGCUCUUGGGUGUGGCUCAGUUGGUUGGUGUCCAACUUCAUUUUGGCUAAGGUCAUGAUCUUGGGGUUUGUGAGUUCAAGCCCUACAUUGGGCUCUCUGGCUGUCAGUGCAGAGCCCAUUUGGGAUCCUCUGUCUCUCUCUCUCUCUCUGCCUCUCCCCCACUUACCUUCUCUCUCUUUCUCUCUCUCUCUCUCAAAAGUAAGUAAACAUUAAAAAAAAAAGAAAAAAGAAUUUUGAGACAGGGGGGUUAUCCUGGAUCUUCCAAGUGGGCCAAUGUAAUCAUAAGGGCCUUUGUAAGAGGGAGGCAGGAGGAACAGGGUCAGUAGCAGGAAACUGAUGAUGGAAGAACUGAUGAUGGACUUAUGGCACAAAGGAGCCAUAAGUCAAGGAAUGUGGGAGUUUCUACAAGCUGAAAAAGUCAAGGAAAUAAAUUCUCCCCUGAAGUCUCCAGAAGGAAUGAAGCCCUGUGUCCACUUUGAUUUUAGACUCCUGACCUUCAGAACUGUAAGACAAUAAAUAUGUUGUUGUAAGCCA